CCUGGCGGCUGUAGCGCGGUGGUCCCACCUGACCCCAUGCCGAACUCAGAAGUGAAACGCCGUAGCGCCGAUGGUA
rnacentral:rRNA from 1 species